CAGCAGCCGCGGUAAUACCGGCGGCCCGAGUGGCGGUCACUAUUAUUGGGCUUAAAGCGUCCGUAGCCGGGUUGGGAAGUCCUCCGGGAAAUCUGGCCGCUUAACGGUCAGAAUGCCGGAGGAUACUCCCAGCCUAGGGGGCGGGAGAGGCCGAGGGGAUUCCCGGGGUAGGGGGGAAAUCCUAUAAUCCCGGGACGACCACCUGUGGCGAAGGCGCUCGGCUGGAACGCGUCCGACGGGGAGGGACGAAGGCCAGGGGAGCAAACCGGAUUAGAUACCCGGGUAGUCCUGGCUGUAAACGAUGCGGACUUUGUGUCGGACAAGCUAUGAGCUUGUCCGGUGCCGGAGGGAAACCGUUAAGUCCGCCGCCUGGGGAGUACGGCCGCAAGGCUGAAACUUAAAGGAAUUGGCGGG
rnacentral:rRNA from 1 species